UGCCAUGGAGUUGCACCCGCUUUCAAUGGAGGUGGCCCCCCGACACCCGCAGAUCAGAAAGUAGAGAGAGAAAGAGCUCGUCAGAGAGAGAGAGAGAGAUUGCAGCGACUCCAAGAUUCAGUCAGAGACCAGUGUUCGAAAGAACCUCGUCAAAUUUCUCCAUUUCUUCCAUUUUCCCCUCCUCGAUCCUCCCAUCGACGAAGUCGAAGCGAAGCUCCGCCCCCA
rnacentral:lncRNA from 1 species